UCUCGAUAGCGUAAAAGAUAGCUCAUUUUUGUAUGCAAUGGGAUCGUUUGCCUACGUUUGCCGCUAGGGGCGCUGUUCCAACUGCAUACAAAAUUGAGUUAACUUUUACGCUAUCGG
rnacentral:pre_miRNA from 9 species